GACGUAGGAGGCGAGCGUUGUCCGGAUUCAUUGGGCGUAAAGAGCGCGCAGGCGGCUUGGUAAGUCGGAUGUGAAAUCCCGAGGCUCAACCUCGGGUCUGCAUCCGAUACUGCCCGGCUAGAGGUAGGUAGGGGAGAUCGGAAUUCCUGGUGUGAGCGGUGAAAUGCGCAGAUAUCAGGAGGAACACCGGUGGCGAAGGCGGAUCUCUGGGCCUUACCUGACGCUCAGGCGCGAAAGCGUGGGGAGCAAACAGG
rnacentral:rRNA from 1 species